AUUGAACGCUGGCGGCAUGCUUUACACAUGCAAGUCGAACGGUAACAGGUUAAGCUGACGAGUGGCGAACGGGUGAGUAAUGCAUCGGAACGUGCCCGAUCGUGGGGGAUAACGCAGCGAAAGCUGCGCUAAUACCGCAUACGAUCUGAGGAUGAAAGCGGGGGACCGUAAGGCCUCGCGCGAUAGGUGCGGCCGAUGUCAGAUUAGGUAGUUGGUGGGGUAAAGGCCCACCAAGCCGACGAUCUGGAGCUGGUCUGAGAGGACGACCAGCCACACUGGGACUGAGACACGGCCCAGACUCCUACGGGAGGCAGCAGUGGGGAAUUUUGGACAAUGGGCGAAAGCCUGAUCCAGCAAUGCCGCGUGCAGGAAGAAGGCCUUCGGGUUGUAAACUGCUUUUGUACGGAGCGAAAAGGUCCUUUCUAAUACAAGGGGCUCAUGACGGUACCGUAAGAAUAAGCACCGGCUAACUACGUGCCAGCCGCCGCGGUAA
rnacentral:rRNA from 1 species